UACGUAGGGUGCGAGCGUUAAUCGGAAUUACUGGGCGUAAAGCGUGCGCAGGCGGUUCGUUGUGUCGGUGGUGAAAUCCCCGGGCUUAACCUGGGAAUGGCCAUGGAAACUGGCGAACUGGAGUGCGGCAGAGGGGGGUGGAAUUCCGCGUGUAGCAGUGAAAUGCGUAGAUAUCUGGAGGAACACCGGUGGCGAAGGCGGCAUCCUGGACCAACACUGACGCUGAGGAGCGAAAGCCAGGGGAGCAAACGGG
rnacentral:rRNA from 1 species